UACGUAGAAGACUAGUGUUAUUCAUCUUUAAUAGGUUUAAAGGGUACCUAGACGGUAUAAUUAGUCUUUAAUAAGAAACGGUUAUACUAGAGUUAUAUAUGAGGAGGCGAGUAUUUAUGGAGUAGAGUUGAAAUUCUGUCAUACCAUAACGACUGGUAACGGCGAAAGCAACCUUUUAUCUAAUAACUGACGUUGAGGGACGAAGGCUCGGGUAACGAACAGG
rnacentral:rRNA from 1 species